GAUGAACGCUGGCGGCAUGCUUUACACAUGCAAGUCGAACGGUAACAGGCCGCAAGGUGCUGACGAGUGGCGAACGGGUGAGUAAUGCAUCGGAACGUGCCCAGUCGUGGGGGAUAACGCAGCGAAAGCUGUGCUAAUACCGCAUACGAUCUAUGGAUGAAAGCGGGGGACCGUAAGGCCUCGCGCGAUUGGAGCGGCCGAUGUCAGAUUAGGUAGUUGGUGGGGUAAAGGCUCACCAAGCCAACGAUCUGUAGCUGGUCUGAGAGGACGACCGGCCAAGCUGGGACUGAGACACGGCCCAGACUCCUACGGGAGGCAGCAGUGGGGAAUUUUGGACAAUGGGCGCAAGCCUGAUCCAGCAAUGCCGCGUGCAGGAAGAAGGCCUUCGGGUUGUAAACUGCUUUUGUACGGAACGAAACGGCGAGCUCUAAUACAGUUUGCUAAUGACGGUACCGUAAGAAUAAGCACCGGCUAACUACGUGCCAGCCGCCGCCGUAA
rnacentral:rRNA from 1 species